rnacentral:sRNA from 1 species
UGUUUUUCUUUAUCUUU